rnacentral:rRNA from 1 species
CACACGCAAUCAAUACAACUUUCAACAACGGAUCUCUUGGCUCUCGCAUCGAUGAAGAACGCAGCGAAAUGCGAUACGUAAUGUGAAUUGCAGAAUUCAGUGAAUCAUCGAAUCUUUGAACGCACCUUGCGCCCCUUGGCAUUCCGAGGGGCACACCCGUUUGAGUGUCGUGAAAUCAUCAAAAACCUUUUUCUGUUUACCGAAAAAGAUUUUUGGACUUGGAGGUUUAAUGCUUGCCUUUCACCUUUGAAAGUGAGCUCCUCUCAAAUGAAUUAGUGGGGUCCGCUUUGCUGGUCCUUGACGUGAUAAGAUGUUUCUACGUUUUGGAUUUGGCACUGUCCCUUUGGAUUCCUGCUCCUAACUGUCCAACGGACAAAUGAUGGUGCUCCGGUCGCCGCCGUCUACAUUGGCGGGGGAGGGCUGGACCCACGAAAGAAAACCUGACCUC